GAAGCCUGAGAAGCAGUGAGGGCUCUGAUGCCGGGACCCAUUCUCAGGAGUACAAGGACCUGGAAUAAAAAUGAACACCAAUUAGCCAGGAGAUGUCAAAGUAGCCCAUGGCAACAUGCCAGGAGAGACUUCAAUCAUUACCACCACGGACACCAGGACCUGGAAGCCACCUGUUGAAGAUGGCAGAGCCCCAAGACAGAAGGAGCACCCACCUGGGAGGAUCACUGCUGAACAUGCAAGCUGGAUGGCUGUGG